rnacentral:tRNA from 1 species
GCCGCGGUGGUGGAAUGGCAGACACGAUAGACUCAAAAUCUAUUGAUCGCAAGAUCAUGAGAGUUCGACUCUCUCCCGCGGCA